rnacentral:rRNA from 1 species
CAGUAGCCGCGGUAAUACGAGGGGGGCAAGCGUUGUUCGGAUUUAUUGGGCGUAAAGGGUGCGUAGGCGGUUUGGCAAGUCUUAUGUGAAAUCUUCGGGCUCAACCCGAAGCCUGCAAGAGAAACUACCGGGCUUGAGUAUGGGAGAGAUGAGUGGAAUUUCCGGUGUAGCGGUGAAAUGCGUAGAUAUCGGAAGGAACACCUGUGGCGAAAGCGGCUCACUGGACCAUAACUGACGCUGAAGCACGAAAGCUAGGGGAGCAAACAGGAUUAGAUACCCCCGUAGUCCCUGUCUCUUAUAU